GGCCAUAGCUCAGUGGUAGAGCAUCUGCUUUCCAUGCAGAAGGUCCUAGGUUCAAACCCUGGCAUCGCCG